ensembl:lncRNA
GGGGACAUCAGGGGGGGUGGGGGACAGCAGGGGGGAUGGGAACAGCAGGGGACAGCAGGGGGACAUCAGGGGGGUGGGGACAGCAGGGGGGAUGGGGACAGCAGGGGGACAUUAUGGGGUGGGGACAGCAGGGGGGAUGGGGACAGCAGGGGACAGCAGGGGGACAUCGGGGGGACAGCAUUGGGGAUAAGGACAGCAGGGGACAGCAGGGGACAGCAUCAGUGGGGACAUCAAUGGGAUGGGGACAGCAGGGAGACAUUAGGGGGACAGCAUCAGUGGGGACAUCAUUGGGGACAGCAGGGGACAGCAUGGGGACAUCAUGGGGAUGGGGACAUCAGGGGACAGCAUCAGUGGGGACAUCAAUGGGGAUGGGGACAUCAGGGGACAGCAGGGGGACAUCGGGGGGACAGCAUUGGGGAUAAGGACAGCAGGGGACAGCAGGGGGACAUCAGUGGGGAUGGGGACAGCAGGGGGACAUCAUGGGGACAGGAGGGGACAGCAGGGGACAGCAUCAGUGGGGACAUCAAUGGGGAUGGGGACAUCAGAGGGACAUCAGGAGGACAGCAGGGGGACAUCAGGGGACAUCAUGGGGACAUCAGGGGGACAUCAUCGGUGGGGACAGCAGGGGGG